rnacentral:rRNA from 1 species
UAAGCAUAUCAAUAAGCGGAGGAAAAGAAACUAACAAGGAUUCCCCUAGUAACGGCGAGUGAAGAGGGAAGAGCUCAAAGUUAAAACCUGGGUGGGUGACCACUCCGGAUUGUAAACUAUUGCUUCCGACUUUGUGAAAGCCUGGUUAAAAGUCCUUUGGAAUAAGGCAUCAUCGAGGGUGAGAGUCCCGUUCGUUGACCAGCGUGUUUUUACUAAUAUUUCGGUUGUCAAGCGAGUCAGGUUGUUUGGGAAUGCAGCCUAAAUUGGGUGGUAAAUCACAUCUAAAGCUAAAUAUUGGCGAGAGACCGAUAGCGAACAAGUACCGUGAGGGAAAGAUGAAAAGAACUUUGAAAAGAGAGUUAAACAGUACGUGAAAUUGCUGAAAGGGAAGCGUUUGCAGACAAAUUGUAGGGUGUAGUUUGUGCGGUGUGAAAAGCGGAUUUUAUUCGAAAGACACGGUGUAGACUUACCCUGCUGUUGCUGGCUGUCAACGACCCGUCUUGAAACACGGACCAAGGAGUCCACCAAACGUGCGAGUAUUUGGGUGUUAAACCCGCAUGCGCAAGGAAACUGAAUGGAUGCGAUCUCGCAAGAGUGCAGCAUAGCCCGGCGGGAAAGUUCUUAACAGCACUGACCGAGGCAAAGCACGUUUGAUGGGACCCGAAAGAUGGUGAACUAUGCCUGAGUAGGGUGAAGCCAGAGGAAACUCUGGUGGAGGCUCGUAGCGAUUCUGACGUGCAAAUCGAUCGUCAAACUUGGGUAUAGGGGCGAAAGACUAAUCGAACCAUCUAGUAGCUGGUUCCUGCCGAA